AUGACUUUCGUCAAAUUAUCAGCGUCAUUUUUGUCUUGGGAAAUGGAAUCAGAAGCAUCUUUUCUAGGAGAAAAUAUAUGCUUGUGUUCAGUCGUUACCUGGUGCUUCAACAUUGCAUACUUGAUGGAAUCAAGAACAUCUUCUGCUGUGAAAACCGCAUCUCUGAGUCUCUGGAUCCACGAUUGCAAUUUGGAAUCAUCAACUUCCCUUUCCCUGGCCCGGCUGAUUGCUUCUGAAAUCUGCUCAAGGCGCCACUUGAGCUUUUCGGUGUUGGUCACGAAAUUCUUCUGGUCCUUGUACCGGUCCUUUGCAUACUGUAUCACAGGGUCGGCGAGCUUGGAAAGGCAGACAGACACGAACCAUCCAGCCACAGCGAGCUUGACCAUCACCAUGGCAGAUCAAAAUUUCUGGAUCUCAGGGGGUCCAGGAAGAGGAUGA
rnacentral:rRNA from 1 species